AUCACAGGUAACUGAACAUGAACCAGACUUAUAACUUUGUCAUUGACAGAUUUCCCACAGAUCUAUGUGAUGAUGAUCAGUCCCCUCAUCAAAGGUGUUUCUGUUUGCAGCCUCUCCUCUGCCAGCCUUCAUCAUCAGACACGUUGUAGUGCUGCUGAUCCUACUGACAGCCAUCACCACCUCCUACCUGUACUACAAGCCCACCAGGAGGCAGAAGAGAGUGAACAGGGUGAGCAGCAUGGAUCUUUAUGUCAAUGCCAUGGAGAUGGUCUCUCUGAGCUCCAGAGCUGAAGCUGGACCGGGAGAGGAGAAAGCAGCCCAGGGGACGGAGUAGGAGUAGAAUGAAUCUGACCCUACAUGCUGAUCUUAGGUCAGUUUUGUGUUUUAAAUCGAUGGUCAGCUGUGUACUGAUGUUUAAAAUGUGGUGACAAACCUGAAGUGAUUUUAAUUUUAAUAACAAGUUCAGAAUUAGUUUAUCUUUCUAGAACCAUGGAAGAAAUCUAAAAGGAGUUGUUGUUUACCUCUCAUGAUGUUAUUGAUUAUAAAUGUUAUGAUAUUGAUUAUGAUGUAGAUUAGUGUUAUGAUGUUGCUCUCUAAACUGCCAUGUAAUCAACUGAAUGCUUUUAAUAAAAUUACAGGCUGUCAA